rnacentral:rRNA from 1 species
AUUGAACGCUGGCGGCAGGCCUAACACAUGCAAGUCGAGCGGAUGAAGGGAGCUCGUUCUUGGAUUCAGCGGCGGACGGGCGAGUAAUGCCUAGGAAUCUGCACGGCAGUGGGGGAUAACGUCCGGAAACGGGCGCUAAUACCGCAUACGAUCAGAGGGAGAAAGGGGGGGAUCUUCGGACCUCACGCUAUCAGAUGAGCCUAGGUCGGAUUAGCUAGUUGGUGGGGUAAAGGCCUACCAAGGCGACGAUCCGUAGCUGGUCUGAGAGGAUGAUCAGUCACACUGGAACUGAGACACGGUCCAGACUCCUACGGGAGGCAGCAGUGGGGAAUAUUGGACAAAGGGCGAAAGCCUGAUCCAGCCAUGCCGCGUGUGUGAUGAAGGUCUUCGGAUUGUAAAGCACUUUUAGUUGGGAAGAAGAGCAGUAAGUUUAUACCUUGCUGUUUUGACGUUACCAACAGAGUAAGCCCCGGCUAACUUCGUG